rnacentral:SRP_RNA from 1 species
GCCAGGUGUGAUGGCACGUGCCUGCAGUCCCAGCUACUUGGGAGGCUGAGGCAGGAGGAUCCCUUGAUCCCAGGAGUUCUGGACUGUAGUGUAGUAUACCAGUCAGGUGUCUGCACUAAGUUCUGCAUCAGUCAGGUUGCCCAAGGAUGGUUGAACUAACCCAGGUGGAAAUUGGGGGAGGUCAAAACUUCAGCACAGUGCUGAUCAGUAGCAGGAUUGCACCUGUAAAUAGCCACGGCCCUCCAGCUUAGGCAACAUAGUGAGAUCCUAUCUCU